ACCCAGGAGCGGGAGGAAACCCUUCUGUACUCAUUACAUCACUGGCCACAUCUUCAGAGAUGUGUGGCUUUGAUUCCUAAAGAAGAACUUAGCCUCAACGGAAAGACUGCUCAACAAGACAAGAUCAAAUGCACUUGAGGUAAAGGGAUGAGUGUGUGUGUGGAUUGAAGACCUUGGCUAAUUGUUUAUUUAAGAAAGCAAGCUGAGCAACCCAGGGGGAGCAAGCCAGUAAGUAACAUCCCUCCAUGGCCUCUGCAUCAGCUCCUGCUUCCUGACCUGUUUGAGUUCCAGUCCUGACUUCCUUGGUGAUGAACAGCAGUAUGGAAGUGUAAGCUGAAUAACUCCUUUCCUCCCCAACUUGCUUCCUGGUCAUGAUGUUUUGUGCAGGAAUAGAAACCCUGACUAAGAUAAUACUGGAAGGACAACGUAAAGAACACUGUAUGAGAAUCGUACGACAUGGAGUGACUGCAUCCAUGAUAAGUUGUCAUUAGGAGGAUGGAGGUGAGCCCAGACCAUGUCAGAGUUAAUUGCAAAUGGUAACAGGACACUCUGAGAACAGGAACCUGUUUGUCCUCCCCAGCUGUGCUACUCUGGGUCUGACUCAAGUUCCUUAUAAGAAGUGAAUAAGCCACAGGCCAAGGCUGUCUUCCAAGUUCCUGAUGCAAGACUGAUUUCUCAGGUUCCUUGACAUUUGCAUUUAACCCCCAAAUGUCCUUUGCUGAGCUGUUUUUUGGGGUUCUCUCCAUCUCCCUGCUGUUAUUUGUUAUGGUCUUUUCUUUCCAUUUUCAGGUCUCUUCCCUGGUACUGAUUCCUGCUUGCUUCUCUCUCUUUAGCCCCAGCAUUUCUGCUGGUCCUUGGCCUUCAGAAAACUUUCACCAGAGGAAGGAAUUGCUUCUAGGGACAGUUUUUUUUGAAUAAUUUUAAAAAAUGAUUUAUUUAUUUUUAUUUCAUAUGCAUUGGUGUCUGUCUCUGUGAGGGUGUCAGAUCCUCUGGAACUGAAGUUGCAGUUGUGAGCUUCCACAUAGGUGCUGGGAAUUGAACCCUGGUCCUCAGGAAGAGCAGCCAGUGCUCUUAACCACUGAAUUAUUUCUCCAGCUCCUUAGGGACAACUUUAUUUUAGACACAGUGGCAAGCUCCUAAGCCAGGAGGACAACCUCGGCUCAGGGACAAAGCCUUAGUCUCUAGCAGGACAAAGCCUGGGAUCGACAGCAAGCAGGAGCUGGGAUGCCAUGACCCAAAGAGGCCUCCAAAGCCCUAAGAUGUAGAAACACCAGACAGGAGCCCAGACCCCUGACUGACAGGGAAAAACAGAGCCCAGCGUCGCCUGCCCUGCGCCCUUACUUUGUGACUUAACCAGCAAUGAAUUUGUAUUCUCUAAAAUCCCUGUAUUAUGGAGGUUGUUUGUUACGGCAAUUGCUUUCCCCUGGGUGACUCACCAGCUAAAAUUGGGAAGGGCUGAUGAAAGUACCGUGUUUGACCUUGAAGAGUAGACAGAACAGCGCACGCAAUUUCAUCAUACAUGUAACCUAGGAGGAGGGAGCCAGUGUUCUCCACUUUCCACUGUAC
rnacentral:lncRNA from 1 species